rnacentral:rRNA from 1 species
GACGUAGGGGGCCAGCGUUGCUCGGAAUUACUGGGCGUAAAGGGUUCGUAGGCGGUUUGGCAAGUCGGGUGUGAAAUCUCCAGGCUCAACUUGGAGGCUGCUUCCGAAACUGCCGCGCUAGAGUGCGAGAGAGGCCAGUGGAAUUGCAGGUGUAGCGGUGAAAUGCGUAGAUAUCUGGAGGAACACCGGUGGCGAAGGCGGCAUCCUGGACCAACACUGACGCUGAGGAGCGAAAGCCAGGGGAGCAAACGGG